AGACUAUCCGGUAAUAAACAGGAUAUAAGACAAAAGGGAUGGAUAUUCAGUUGUUCACUCUCAUUUAUAUCUUUAUGAAAGCAGCGAUCAUUACUUUUGUAAUAUUAGCUAGCAGAGGUUCAAUCUUCCGGAUGUAGAACUGGUUGUGGAAGUUAGUUUUGUGAAAUUGGUUACAGUUGGCACCAUUUAGUGUUACAUGAUUGGAAGAAUUCUUUGGAUAAAGUCCUAAACCUAGAUUUUUUUGCAUUUGCUUAUACAGUUCUCUUGUCAAUAUCUGGAUAAGUUGGGGCCUAAAUUCUGAGUCCCUUUAUAGCAUCCUGCAGAUUAAAUGGGGGUCCUUUAGAUUGAAAUCCAAGUUAAACACAUCUUGAACAUGAAAUUCAGAAUCAGCGGGUUGGAUAUGUCUAGGCAAGGCCAUCAUUGGCUUGGCAACUUUGGACCUGACUUGGACUGGUUAGAUCAAAAAAAUAGAGGCUCACAAAGUCAAGUCAAUCUAGCCCAUAAAGCUCAAUGUCCAUCAUUGUAUCAUCUCUUUUGAUGGCAUCUCUUAGACUGCCUUUGCUCUUUGAUAUAGCCCAAUUCAAGCACUACUGCACACAUUAUAGAUAUAUAUCUCGCUGUCUGUGUGUUGUACAGAACUUCUCUUCUAUUUACUUGUUAUUA
rnacentral:lncRNA from 1 species